CCAGAAAACAAGGGAGCUGCUUUGCAGGAGUUUCGAAAGAGAUGGUGUAGAAGACACACACACGUCUAAUUCCUUGCCUUGGCUGGAUAACACGGCUGCAAAAGGUUAGGACACAGCGAGAAGGUGGCUGUCUAUGUGCGAGGAAGAGAGCCCUAACUAGGAACCACAUCAGCUGGCACCUUGGUUUUGGACUUCCCAGCCUCAAGAUCUGUGAGAAAUAAAUAUCUGUUGUCUAAGACA